UACGUAGGUGGCAAGCGUUGUCCGGAUUUACUGGGCGUAAAGGGCGUGCAGGCGGUCUGUUAAGUUCAGGGUGAAAGCUCCCGGCUCAACUGGGAGAGGUCCUUGGAUACUGGCAGACUUGAGGGAGGUAGAGGAGAGUGGAAUUCCCGGUGUAGUGGUGAUAUGCGUAGAUAUCGAGAGGAACACCAGUGGCGAAGGCGAGUCGCUGGACAUUUCCUGACGCUGAGGCACGAAAGCCAGGGGAGCAAACGGG
rnacentral:rRNA from 1 species